rnacentral:rRNA from 1 species
UUGACCUCAAAUCAGGUAGGACUACCCGCUGAACUUAAGCAUAUCAAUAAGCGGAGGAAAAGAAACUAACAAGGAUUCCCCUAGUAACUGCGAGUGAAGCGGGAAAAGCUCAAAUUUGAAAUCUGACGGUUCUUGACCGUCCGAGUUGUAAUCUAGAGAAGUGUUACCUGUGCUGGACCGUGUAAAAGUCUCCUGGAAUGGAGCAUCAUAGAGGGUGAGAAUCCCGUCUUUGACACGGACAACCUGUGCGUUCUGGUGCGCUCUCAAAGAGUCGAGUUGUUUGGGAAUGCAGCUCAAAAUGGGUGGUAAAUGCCAUCUAAAGCUAAAUAUUGGCGAGAGACCGAUAGCGAACAAGUACCGUGAGGGAAAGAUGAAAAGCACUUUGGAAAGAGAGUUAAACAGUACGUGAAAUUGCUGAAAGGGAAACGCUUGAAGUCAGUCACGUUGGCUAGAAAUCAGCCUUGCUUCUGCUCGGUGUACUUUCUGGUCGACGGGUCAGCAUCAAUUUCGACCGCUGGACAAAGUCUUUGGGAAUGUGGCAUCCUCGGAUGUGUUAUAGCCCAUCGUCGCAUGCAGCGGUUGGGAUUGAGGAACUCAGCACGCCGCAAGGCCGGGUUUCGACCACGUUCGUGCUUAGGAUGCUGGCAUAAUGGCUUUAAUCGACCC